rnacentral:rRNA from 1 species
CUGGCGGCGUGCCUAACACAUGCAAGUCGAGCGAGGAGAUUCCUUCGGGAUGAAUCCUAGCGGCGGACGGGUGAGUAACACGUGGGCAACCUGCCUCAUAGAGAGGAAUAGCCUUCCGAAAGGGAGAUUAAUACCUCAUAACAUUGCAGUUUCGCAUGGAACAGCAAUUAAAGGAGUAAUCCGCUAUGAGAUGGGCCCGCGGCGCAUUAGCUAGUUGGUGAGGUAACGGCUCACCAAGGCGACGAUGCGUAGCCGACCUGAGAGGGUGAUCGGCCACAUUGGGACUGAGACACGGCCCAGACUCCUACGGGAGGCAGCAGUGGGGAAUAUUGCACAAUGGGGGAAACCCUGAUGCAAGCAACGCCGCGUGAGUGAUGACGGCCUUCGGGUUGUAAAGCUCUGUCUUCAGGGACGAUAAUGACGGUACCUGAGGAGGAAGCCACGGCUAACUACGUGCCAGCAGCCGC